rnacentral:rRNA from 1 species
CCCUUAGAUGUUCUGGGCCGCACGCGCGCUACAAUGAUGAAUUCAACGAGUUUAUAACCUUGGUUGAAAAGCCUGGGUAAUCUUUUGAACUAUCGUCGUGAUGGGGCUAGACCCUUGCAAUUAUUGGUCUCCAACGAGGAAUUCCUAGUAAACGCAAGUCAUCAGCUUGCAUUGAUUACGUCCCUGCCCUUUGUACACACCGCCCGUCGCACCUACCGAUUGAAUGGUCCGGUGAAAUCUUCGGAUUGAGACUUUGAUUUCUUCACGGAAAACGCUGUUUUAAAAAGUUGAUUAAACCUUACCAUUUAGAGGAAGGUGAAGUCGUAACA